rnacentral:lncRNA from 1 species
AUGCUUAUUCUCUGCUUAGAGAACCAGGCAAGUCCUCCACGCUCCCAAUUCUGCUUUUACGACUGUCCCUUGUUCAGUCAUGUUCAGUCACGACAUGUUGUGAACUGAUAACACUGUAGCUUAAAAAGCUUUUUCAUCAAUCUGAUCUAGUAAUUUAAAACCAAAACAAAGACACUAUUGUGGAAUAAGCCAUUAAGUGCUUACUUAAACACUAGGCGCUUCUGGGUACUGAUGACUUGGUCAUGACAUUGGAGGAAUUGAUGACUAGAAGGAAUAUGACUAAGAGUGGUCAGUGAGAACCCAAGGAAGAAUCUGAAGUGGUACAGAGUGGCACAUUAGCCAAGAAUACACCCAGAGAAUACCAAAGAGAA